rnacentral:rRNA from 1 species
AUUGAACGCUGGCGGCAGGCCUAACACAUGCAAGUCGAACGGUAACAGGAAACAGCUUGCUGUUUCGCUGACGAGUGGCGGACGGGUGAGUAAUGUCUGGGAAACUGCCUGAUGGAGGGGGAUAACUACUGGAAACGGUAGCUAAUACCGCAUAACGUCGCAAGACCAAAGAGGGGGACCUUCGGGCCUCUUGCCAUCGGAUGUGCCCAGAUGGGAUUAGCUAGUAGGUGGGGUAACGGCUCACCUAGGCGACGAUCCCUAGCUGGUCUGAGAGGAUGAACAGCCACACUGGAACUGAGACACGGUCCAGACUCCUACGGGAGGCAGCAGUGGGGAAUAUUGCACAAUGGGCGCAAGCCUGAUGCAGCCAUGCCGCGUGUAUGAAGAAGGCCUUCGGGUUGUAAAGUACUUUCAGCGGGGAGGAAGGGAGUAAGUUAAUACCUUUGCUCAUUGACGUUACCCGCAGAAGAAGCACCGGCUAACUCCGUGCCAGCCGCCGCUGUAA